rnacentral:rRNA from 1 species
GAAAUUCGGACUAAUAUCCCAUAUCGAACGAGGUGGCAUCACCUUGUUCUGAAAGCUCCGGCGGUACAGGAUGGCCAUGCGCACGAUUAGCUAGUUGGUGAGGUAACGGCUCACCAAGGCUACGAUCGUUAGGGGGCCGUGAGAGGGUUAUCCCCCACCACUGGUACUGAGACACGGACCAGACUCCUACGGGAGGGCAGCAGUGAGGAAUAUUGCGCAAUGGAGGCAACUCUGACGCAGCCAUGCCGCGUGCAGGAAGAAGGCGCUACGCGUUGUAAACUGCUUUAUCCGGGAAGAAACCCCUCCUACGUGUGGAGGGUUGACGGUACCGGAGGAAUAAGCACCGGCUAACUUCGUG